rnacentral:lncRNA from 1 species
AACUCUCCCUAUUUAAAUGUUAUCUUGCACUGAUUUCAUCCUUAAAGUGUGUUUUCAAGUGAUUAAAAAUUUGACUUGAUUCUUCUUAUAUACUUUCAUUUACUUUGUCUUUCAUUUUUAACUUUCCUAUGUUGUAUACUCUACUUGCUCCCUAUCCGGUGGUGUUGGAAGGGGCACGAGGUACUACCACUAGCCUCCCUCUUGUGCCGUCCCUAAUAUACCCUACACCGAAUAGUUGGGUCAAAUAGUGCCGGGUACUACCACUAGCCUCCCCAUUGGCACCAUCCCUAUGAUGAGCAAUAUAGAAAGGUUAAAAUAUUCACUUCAAAUUCUCUCUAUUUAAGUGUAAUUCA